UUUGAUAUGGAUUAGUAAGUUAAAGCA
rnacentral:sRNA from 1 species